GAUGAACGCUGACCGAAUGCUUAACACAUGCAAGUCUACUUGAACUUCGGUUUGGGUGGCGGACGGGUGAGUAACGCGUAAAGAACUUGCCUCACAGUUAGGGACAACAUUUGGAAACGAAUGCUAAUACCUGAUAUUAUGAUUUUAGGGCAUCCUAGGAUUAUGAAAGCUAUAUGUGCUGUGAGAGAGCUUUGCGUCCCAUUAGCUAGUUGGAGAGGUAACGGCUCACCAAGGCGAUGAUGGGUAGCCGGCCUGAGAGGGUGAACGGCCACAAGGGGACUGAGACACGGCCCUUACUCCUACGGGAGGCAGCAGUGGGGAAUAUGGGACAAGGGACCAAAAGUCUGAUCCAGCAAUUCUGUGUGCACGAUGACGUUUUUCGGAAUGUAAAGUGCUUUCAGUUGGGAAGAAAAAAAUGACGGUACCAACAGAAGAAGUGACGGCUAAAUACGUG
rnacentral:rRNA from 1 species